UACGGGGGGGGCAAGCGUUGUUCGGAAUUACUGGGCGUAAAGGGCGCGUAGGCGGUUCGCUAAGUUGGAUGUGAAAUCCCCGGGCUUAACCUGGGAACUGCAUUGGUGACUGCAUUGCUGGAGUAUGGCAGAGGGGGGUGGAAUUCCACGUGUAGCAGUGAAAUGCGUAGAGAUGUGGAGGAACACCGAUGGCGAAGGCAGCCCCCUGGGCCAAUACUGACGCUCAUGCACGAAAGCGUGGGGAGCAAACAGG
rnacentral:rRNA from 1 species